CGUGACAGUACAUGUUUUACUAAGUCGAUCUCAACUUCAGGAACGUGAACUGUAUCAGGAAUUUGUAAACGUUCAGGAGUAAUAUAAUUAGGAUCAGUAUUGAUCUCUUUAAAAUAGUCAUUAAUCACUUCUGCAUUGACAAUAGCACUGAUUUGAACGUCUUGUUUAUUUCUACCUGAUAUCCUGUUAGCUGUAUCCCACCAUGCUUUAGAUCCUUUCUUAUAUUUCCUAUUCUCGCAACGGACGGCAUUUAAUUGAUUUGUACGAAUAAGUUUGUUAAUUCGUUCUUGAAGAAUAGCAUUUUCAUGACUGUCAUUAUACUUAUAUCUAUUCUUAUUCCUUAUUUUGCAUAGAUGUUUGACUAGCGGAGUUAUGUAAGGUGGUCACGUGACGACAUUUUGAUUGAGAUCAAAGGAAAGAACCCAUCAAACAUAUUACCUAAAAUGUCAUUAAGCUUUUGAACAUUUUCAGAUGGAUCUUGACAAUCAAAAAACAUAUCCCAUUCCAAGUCUUGUAACUUCCGGUCCAUUUGCAC